UGUAGUUUAUUUCCUGUUUCAUCACUCAGCCAGAGUGGGUGCGGCAUGGGAUGCUGCCCCCGCGCUCUUACUGUUGCCGGCCCCACAGCGAAGCACUGCAGGAGAGGAGACUGAGAAGACAGCCCUUGCUGCUGGGAGCUGACUGAGCUCUCAGGCUGUCAGGGGGCGGAGCCAAGCUCAGGCAGACGUUAAAGACAGAAGACCCACACUCCGGAGGAGCAGAGGUGACAUGAAGUGUCGCCACCUUUCUCCUGGAUCUGAUGCUCCGCCCCCCUGCAGUGUCUCUAGGGAGAGACAUGAUGACAUAGGGGUUUGAGGAGGAGGCAUUCCAGCUCACAGUGCAGCAGCAGCAGCCCAGUGACCUCCGGUGACCUUUUCCCCACCUGCCGUCAGUCACAGAGCUUGGGGUGCAGUGGAGAAGCAAAUAGCUUUGAUAUGCAAAUAAGAGAAGUACUUUUCAACUCAGUUCCUGAAGUUCCCCUGGACAGGUCAUGAUUUCAGGAUUUCCUUAAAUGUGUUCACUUGAAACAACCCAUUCGACCAGUUUACAUGGACUGAAUGAAUGACUUGAUGAGCAAGGGAUUUAUAGGGCAAUACAUUUAACACAAGAAAAGAUACAGAUGAUAGGGGAAGAUGAGAAGCGGCAUGGAACAGUACCAUCACCUCUAGAAUGGGCCCCACGCCUGGGUGGUGUUGGUGCAGGUGAGGUGUUGGCCCUACUACUGGCGGAACUUCAUACCUGAGGGAGGAGACCAACUUUUUCUUGUCUUAAUGUUUUCAAAUUUUCAUUCAUCUACCUAAGAAGAUUGUUUUGCAUUUCAAAUUGAUGAUUUCAGUUCUGUUGAAAGGUCAUAUUUUCAUUUGUUUCUGCCUCUAAAAGACGGUGGUUUGCUUCUAAGAUUCUGAUUAUUACACCAAAACUCUCUGUCAAAUUGGUGUUUACCUGGCUGACAUUUUAUUUAAGACUACAAACAUUUUUUUUUUUUAAGCAUGAAAGUUGCAUUCAUUUGUGAAAGUCUACAAAUAUGAUGACAUAUUUGUGGCAAGUGCUUUAUUUGUGUCUAACAGUGCCACAUUACUAUUAUGGAAUGAAGCCAUGGAGGACAGGAAGUCAGAGGCAGCAUCAUCACCUGCUUGUAUUGCUGGCUACUAAGGGGGUCAUUCCGAGUUGAUCGUAGCUGUGCUAAAUUUAGCACAGCUACGAUCUUCUUCCCUGACAUGCGGGGGAACGCCCAGAACAGGGCUAGCCCGCCCCGCACGUCAGUGCCGGCCCCCCUCGCAGAAGUGCAAAGGCAUCACACAGCGGCGAUGCCUUUGCACUUCAAGAGUAGUUCCCAGCCAGCGCAGCUUUAGCAUGCUGGCCGGGAGCUACUCAUCGCUCCCCAGCCCGCAGCGGCUGCAUGUGACGUCACGCAGCCGUUGCGGCCCGCCCCCCGUUUGGUCCGGCCACGUCUGCGUUGGCCGGGCCAAACCCACGAAACGGUGGCCAAAUGCCGCCGUUCCGCCCCCUCCCGCCCAGCGAUUGCCUCUGCCUGUCAAUCAGGCAGAGGUGAUCGCAUCCCUGCUAUGGCCUUCGGCUGUCUGGCAUGCACCGGCGCACUACGGCGCCGGCGCAUGCGCAGCCGGGACCCGUUCGCUCUGCUGCAUUAAAAUGCAGCAAAUGAACGGGUCAGAAUGACCCCCUAAGUCUGGGCUUGGUGGCUUUGGAGUUUGGGUCUGUGGCCUUCAGUGCCAUCAUAUCUUAGCAUCUAUCUCCCAGGUUAAGCAGCAGCGAUGAAUCACCCCAAUGUAGCAAAAACUAGAUUGUUACAUUGGUGUAAGUGUAAAUGACAAAUGUAUCACUCCGUGACCAUGAAUACAUAUGCGCAUAUUACGCGUACAAAAUA